GAUUUUUUGGUGCUUUGGAACGGUUUGUGUAAUUUCAAUUCGGACUAUUUGAUUCAUAUUCAAAAUUUAAGCUUGCCUUGAAAAACCAAUAAGUUUCUUAUUUUUUACUGAAUGUAGUUAGGAGCUACCUUUUCAUCUGUUGAAGCCACACGGGCACAUACAGGACACAGAAAUGGAUUGGGAUCAGGACAUUUAUCACAGCCCGUCAGAGCAUCAAAAAGCAAGCCGCUUUCCCGCUUUCUCACAUCAGGCAGGUCGAAUUGGGUCGCGAAUCAGUCGCCUUGCCACUUUCCAUUCUGUUUUUUUGGCCGCUACGCAGCCAACCGCAUUUAUUUCAAGAAUUUGUGGCAAUUUCCGCAUUUCGGCCGACCAGAAAUCGAUAGCCAAAGGGUGACUUAAAUAUGUCGGAUAUGUGUGCAAAUUUUUAGCAAUUUGCGGUCUCUCCCAGUUUAGUCAAUUGGUAUAAGUUGCCACACAUGUAUAAUUUCUGCACAAAACAAGCCUCACUGUUCGCGGAUUGCACAAGUGCAAUGGCAGAGUGGAAGGCCAGCACGGAGUGCUUGACACGAUGGCCAAGUUGCCAUUUUCCACUUGAAUCCUUGAAGGAGUGCAAGAAAAACGAAGGAGACAAGGACUCGGCCUAGACAGCCAGAAAACGUCUGACUUCGCGUGCUGCUCGCUAUAAAAAUAUACUUAAAAUACGUACAUAGAUAUAACAAACAUAUAUAAUAUAUAUAUAUAUAUAGAUACUAAAUAAAUAAGUACAAAAACUGGAGAAUGAAAGGCCGGGAAGAAAAGCACUCGCGACUGAAAUCAACAAGCAACAAUUACAGAGACAGAUGAGGCAGGGAAAAGCAACAACAACAACAACAGAAGCGUGAUUGAGCUUCACUUGCCACUCAUCCCGCUCCCACCACCCAGUUCUUAUCCUUCGGCUGACAAAGAUCGAAGACGUUGACAAUGGGCGAGGACUUCAGCAGCGAUAAGUGCAUUGCUCGAUAAUCGAAAAUGAAGCAAUAAAAACAAAAGCUCAAACAGGAAGGCAAAGUCAAGCGCUGAGAAUGACAGAGGGGCGUGGCAGGGGCGGAGUGUGUGACUGGCGGCUUCACUGUGUGUGCCAAAUAGGCAACAACAAUUAUUAUCCUUGCAGUGAUUGGUAGGCGGAAAAAAUUCAGUCGUCCCCCCAUCCGUUCAAUAUUACAGUGUUGUGGAAAAUGGGCGCCUUUCUUCUCAGCCUCCCAUGCAUAAAUAAUAUCGAUGUGAACAAUGCGUCUGGUAAUUUGCCAUUUUUGUGGGCCUAUCGUAUCAGCAGCAGGUGGAGAAAUUUUGGGUUGAUAAUGCGGUAAUGUCUAAGCAGUACUUCAGAAAACUCAAACGCAAGGUGGAAUUGAAUGUUCCCUUUUCCGGUAAAGAAAAAACUUUU